rnacentral:rRNA from 1 species
GACGAACGCUGGCGGCGUGCUUAACACAUGCAAGUCGAACGGUAUGGCCCUUCGGGGUACACGAGUGGCGAACGGGUGAGUAACACGUGGGUGAUCUGCCCUGCACUUCGGGAUAAGCCUGGGAAACUGGGUCUAAUACCGGAUAGGACCACUGCCUGCAUGGGUGGUGGUGGAAAGCUUUUGCGGUCUGGGAUGGGCUCGCGGCCUAUCAGCUUGUUGGUGAGGUAGUGGCUCACCAAGGCGACGACGGGUAGCCGGCCUGAGAGGGCGACCGGCCACACUGGGACUGAGACACGGCCCAGACUCCUACGGGAGGCAGCAGUGGGGAAUAUUGCACAAUGGGCGAAAGCCUGAUGCAGCGACGCCGCGUGAGGGAUGACGGCCUUCGGGUUGUAAACCUCUUUCAGCAGGGAAGAAGCGCAAGUGACGGUACCUGCAGAAGAAGCACCGGCUAACUACGUGCCAGCCGCCGCCGUAA